rnacentral:rRNA from 1 species
CUGAGAGGUUCAACGGCCACCUUGGGACUGAGAUACGGCCCAGACUCCUACGGGAGGCCGCAGUCGGGAAUUUUGCGCAAUGGAGGAAACUCUGACGCAGUGACGCCGCGUGCAGGAAGAAGGUUUUCGGAUUGUAAACUGCUUUGACAGGGAAGAAAAAAGACAGUACCUGUAGAAUAAUCUCCGGCUAACUACGUGCCAGCAGC